rfam:Schizosaccharomyces cryophilus OY26 unplaced genomic scaffold supercont4.1, whole genome shotgun sequence.
GUCUACGCCCAUACCUAAGCGAAAACACCAGUUCCCGUCCGAUCAUAGCAGUUAAGUGAAAACGUCUGAGGGCCUCGUUCGUACUAUAGUUGGAGACAAUAUGGGAAACCGGGGUGCUGUAGGCU